rnacentral:rRNA from 1 species
AUGACAAAUUUAAAUAGCUGCAGUAAAUUAACUGUACUAAGGUAGCAUAAUAAGUUGCUUUAUAAUUAAAAGCUUGAAUGAAAGAAACAAUGUGAAACAAACUUUUUAAACUAAAAGAGUAAAAAUUAAUAUUUAAGUGAAAAAUCUUAAAUUAAAUCAAAAGACAAGAAGACCCUUUAGAACUUUAUAAGUUAAAUUAUGUUCAUUAGAUUAAUUUAUCAAGUUGGGGAGAUUUUUAAAUAAAUAAAUCUUUAAAUAUAAUAAAAUGAAUUACCUCAGGUUAAACUAUCCAAAUAAGAAUUAAAACAAGUUACCUAAGGGAUAACAGCGCAAAAUUUUUGAGAAGCUCUUAUUCACAAGAUAAAUUGCGACCUCGAUGUUGGAUUAAGAAUAGCUUAUAAAGAAAAAUUUAUAAGGA